rnacentral:lncRNA from 1 species
GUUGAUGAAUUAUGAGAUGAAUUCGAUUGCCUUUGGUUGUUGCUCUGUUGCAUGAUAUGAACCUACUGCUUGCUAUACCAUGUUGCUAUUACCUUGCUGUAGUUUUGGAAAUCCCAUAAACAUUGGCCUGAAAUUCCUAUGACUGUGGUGAAUGCUAUUGUUUGGUGGCUGUGUAAACAUCACCAUGAAUGCCUUGCUG